AAUGAACGCUGGCGGCAUGCCUUACACAUGCAAGUCGAACGGCAGCAUGACCUAGCUUGCUAGGUUGAUGGCGAGUGGCGAACGGGUGAGUAAUGCAUCGGAACGUGCCUUUUAGUGGGGGAUAACGUAGCGAAAGUUACGCUAAUACCGCAUAUUCUCUGAGGAGGAAAGCAGGGGACCUUCGGGCCUUGCGCUAGAAGAGCGGCCGAUGUCGGAUUAGCUAGUUGGUGAGGUAAAGGCUCACCAAGGCAACGAUCCGUAGCGGGUCUGAGAGGAUGAUCCGCCACACUGGGAAUGAGACACGGCCCAGACUCCUACGGGAGGCAGCAGUGGGGAAUUUUGGACAAUGGGCGCAAGCCUGAUCCAGCCAUGCCGCGUGAGUGAAGAAGGCCUUCGGGUUGUAAAGCUCUUUCGGCUGGGAAGAAAUCGCACCCUCUAAUACAGGGUGUGGAUGACGGUACCAGCAUAAGAAGCACCGGCUAACUACGUG
rnacentral:rRNA from 1 species